UACGUAGGGUGCGAGCGUUAAUCGGAAUUACUGGGCGUAAAGCGUGCGCAGGCGGUUUUGCAAGCCGGAUGUGAAAUCCCCGGGCUCAACCUGGGAAUGGCAUUUGAUACUCUGAGGCUGGAGUACGGGAGAGGAGAGUGGAAUUCCCAGUGUAGAGGUGAAAUUCGUAGAUAUUGGGAAGAACCCCGGUGGCGAAGGCGGCUCUCUGGACCGUAACUGACGCUGAGGCGCGAAAGCGUGGGGAGCAAACAGG
rnacentral:rRNA from 1 species